rnacentral:lncRNA from 10 species
GUAACUUUCUGGAAAAAUUAAAAUGUUCUACAUCUCGAUUCAGGUGGAGUUACGAGUCCACUCAACUAAAUCCCAGGUAAUAAGGCCUUUACAGUUAUCCCAAUCCCUGGUGACACUUGCAACCAUUUGAUCUGCAAGGAAGACACAAAUUGCAACACGGACAAAAUAUACACAGCACAAGAGGCAUCACUAAAGACUCUUGCCCCAUAGGGAAAAGCUGAGAUUCACUUGUCCCCAAGUAGCUUGAAAACUGGUCAGAAGAAAACAGUGACAACACUCUGAAGAGUUUGCUAUUCCUCGAUUUGCAGUCAGUAUAAAUACACCAUUUUUUAAAAGGAAACAUUUGAGAUGACUGCACUGUAUACCAGUUUGUGCUCACCAUUUGACACAUCUGUGACAUUUUUGCUUCCAGAAAGGCAGUAAACAGUAAGCAGACUAAGACACCAACAUGUAACCCUGGGGUGGCCUUGUCGACAUUGCAAGUGCAUACCUGGCAUAUCAUCUGACAGCCUGAGAGUGCCUGCUAUUACUCAGAAGAAAAGAUGGUGUAUCUGAUAGUCUGAAAAGAACAAAGACUGCAGUUACUUCAUCACUCUUGCCGGAAGGUCUGGAAUUAAUUGUGUUUCUUUAUACCCCAUCUAAUUUUACAAAAUCAUACUUCUCCCUGGCAGUUUACUAAUUUACCACCUCAUCUAAGAUAAGACUUUGCCAACAGUAAUAACAUUUAGAAAAUGCUGUCAUGCCUGCUGAACAUAGUCUCCCAUUCCUCCAACCUCACCCCCAGCCCAUAGACACACAUCUACACAGCUCACUCAGAACUUAAAGCAGGUAGACCCAGCCUUGAGGGUCAAAAAACAAACAAACAAACAACAACAACAACAACAACAAAACAGAAUGAUCUGGUGCCUCAGAAGUUUAUCUUCACAAUAAGAGUAACUAACUCUAUUCAGACACCUCUUUGAGUAUCUGCUCCAGCGUCUGUCCAAUGGGUAAAGAGAGUAGAAAGAAAUAAUUGGUCUGCACUUCAGAAAGGCAUUUUAGUGUAUUUAUAUUUCCCUUGUAUACAUUUGUUGUGUGCUUAUUGUAUAAAGAGCACUGUAUGGAUUACCUCCCCUCAAAUUUGAUGGGCAGGGAGCAAAGCAGGGAAACUGCAAAUUUUGAAAUGAGCAUGGAAAUAUCUAGCCUGAAGAUUCUAAAUGGAACAUUCGGUGUUACGGUGUUUGGGGAAUAGCAAAUGACUGGGGGUUUGGAUAUUCAAUUCAGUUGCAUAGUCAAUUUCACCAAAUUCUACUCUUAAGUAAGCAGGCUUGGUACACAAAUAUCUUCCAAAUUUAAUCAUGGGAAUAUGGCAUAUACAUGGGGACUUAGAGAAGGGGUGACAGGGCAAAGGUAACCAAAUCUUAAUAAGUGUUUCCCACUAGUCUAGUUUCUCUAGGCCAUCAAGCAAUACAUCCCUGAUCUUUAAGCAUGAUACGGUGUGUAUGUGUGAAUUGUGUGUGAGUGUGUGUGCUUGUGUGAGUGUGGGUGGAGUACAAACUAAAGCAAAAGAGCGUAUGUUUCCCUUCUGGCUCAGAUUGCAUUCGUAGAUAUAAUUAUUUGUUUAACAUAGCCACACAAUAUUAUAUUACAUCCUAUGAUUUAUUAGCAAAAGCACGCUCUUUAAACUUCAUUUUCCCAAGCAAUGAUAAUUUCUUGACAUGUUUCAUUACUGGGAAAUGACAUAGACAUUUGUUAUAUUCUCAGACAAUAAAAUAUUACCCUGCUCACAUACCUUCAUGGAAUAUUAAACAAAAUGAAUGCCGUUCCCUUUCUGUGUUUAUCAUAUCAUAUUAAAAGUGAAGACUAGCCCUUAUGUUUUCUUUCGUGAUAGAUGAGACAUUGGAAAGAAUGAGUUUAGUUUACCCUUCUUUCCAACUGGCUUUACUUAGCUAUUUGCAAAGCCUCCAAUAAUGCUGUUAGAGUAUCAUUUCAAUCAUCCAGCUUUUCAAAGGCCAUUCCCAAUGUACCUUUCUUUCAAAUCAUCAUGAAGAAUAAAAAUCCAAAAUUUCCCCUAUAAAUGCGUUUCUUAUCUUAACCCCAGAUUCAGUUAGUUUCAGGCAAUGAUGGAAAUAGCAAAGAUUGGGGAGUGAUCCAACGUAAGGAUUACACAAUUCUUCAUAGAAACUGGUUGUAGACCAACUUUAUGAAUAUGUUGUAAACAUUUAUCAGCCCACAUACUGGAUCUUUCCAUAUGCAUAUAAAGACCAUAUGAAAUAUACAUUCUUUACCACUAACAUAUCAAAAAGUGUUAUCUAGUGUGAGUGAGAGAUUACGUACUCACAGGGUGGUACAUGCACACCCAUAACCACACAGAUACACACAUUUAUUAUAGAAAGAGUUUUAAAAUACUAUGGACUUUCUGUAUAAAGCAGUUCAUCAUGGAGAAUAAUAAAUUUUCUUGAGUUUCAUCAAAUGUAUUGUAUAUUAAGUGGGAUUUUUCAAGGCUAUGCUUAGAGUUGAGUUGAAGUCCUAGACAUGUCUAAGUUUUCCUAGCUCUCAUGGAUAGAAUCAGCAUUAAACUGAGGGGAACUUUGGCAAACACCAAACAUUUUAGAUAAGGAAAAUCUGUGCACUUUUUGACAUGACUAUGGAAAAAUAGCCUAAACAUCUAAGACAACCUCAAGCUUAAGUUCAGAUGGUCUAAGUUCUACACUUAACCUUUACUACUACCUUGUUUGAAUUCAGGCCAAUAAAUUAAUUAUUCUAUACAUUAAUUUUUCCAGGAGUUCUCAGGAGAGAAUAAAUUUGCAGUAUCUAAUUUUAAAGGGGUUGGGAGAACAAAAUAAAACUGUGUAAUCAGUGCAGCUCUCUGCUGAAGGUGAGAACCUACACAGUUGACAGGGUUUGCUCAACAGAAGGGCCAUAGCUUAGUGCUUAGUUGUCACUGACUUGAAAUUCAUAAUAAUUUUACCUUUGAACUUGUGCUUGGUCGGUGAAGUCUGAUGAGACAACGAAGCAUGAGCAGAGCAGAUGUGAUAGGUGUGAACACGCUGUGUGCAGGCUUGGGUCUUCUGGAAUCCUGAGCAAUGGGCAGAAACAUCAACAGUGGCAGCAGCUGCCAUGGCUCAGGGAGAGAUUAUGUGCUCUGCAUGGGGGCAGCACCAACAUCACAGCUCGCCCUUCUACCUCCAAAGCCUGUCCUUAUAGCAUCUGUACCAAAAUUAACUCUCUGGUCUGAAUACUGGGACAGGAACUGCCUGUACUCAGGCCAUAAAGUUUGUCAAUACAUUAUUACAAAAUAAACUGUGCUCAUGGACAUUGCACUAAAGCAUGUCAGAUAGUUACUAAAAUUCUGCAAAGACUAGACUCUCUGGUUUUGAAAACUUCUGCAACAUUAAAAAGCAAAUAUCCACAGACUUAGAAACAGUUUAAAGAUCAUCACAUUCAAAAGAACAGUAUCCUUAUAUGAAGCUUUGGAUGAACCAAUUAUUAACAAGGAAGACAAUUCUAAGACUAAUUUUUCUGCCAAGGGAUAUAUUGUGAUAGAAUGCAUAAACAGUUGUUCUGAAUUGUAUACAAAUUAUGAAGCCAUCUUUGGUUUCUUGUAUGACUGCCACAAAUUGUAGGAAACAUUAGAGAAGAAAUGUUAGAGAAAACAAUAAAAUAAAAUGCUGUUGUAUAUAUUCACAUGUAAAAUUAAAUUCAGACUUACAAUAAACCAAUUUGAAUACAGUUAAAUCUUUUUAGAAAAGUUUUUUUGCAAGAAUCAUUAGCUCUUGGCCAGGCACAGUGGGUUACACCUGUAAUCCCAGCACUUUGGGAGGCCAAGGCAGGCAGAUCACCUGAGGUCAAGGGUUCAAGACCAGCCUGGCCAGCAUGGUGAAAUCCCGUCUCUACUAAAAAUACAAAAUUAGCUAGGUGUGGUGGUGGAUGUCUGCAAUGCCAACUACUUCGCAGGCUGAGACAGAAGAAUCGCUUGAACCUGAGAGGCAGAGGUUGCAGUGAGCCGAGGUUGUGCCACUGCUCUCCAGCCUGGCAGCAAGGAAUGAAGAAAAGACAGCUGUGCUGCUGCUCCCAUAUGAGCUCCAAGAUUCAUAAUUUCGUCAUGAUACCCUGAAGAAGAAAUGGACAUGGAAAACUGGCACUGAGACAUAGAUCAUCAGUCUGCUGCUGACCUAGAAACCUUGUGUUUACUGAAUUCAUCAAAGAAAGUCUGGACCAGAGAAACCUGAAUCCUUUCUAAUUCUCCACACAGAGCACUAUGGAAACUCUUCUGAUGGUUGGUUGAGAACAGGGAAACAUUAUAUGGGUUUAGAAAAGAAAAAAAUAUAACUGAUCAACACAGGGAUCAAGAAUGGGUCCAUCUGCAGGUUGUUCCAACCAACUGUGGAAGUGAUCCUGUAGCUCACGGUGUACAUUGUCACUAGUAAAACUUUCAAAGGCCUUCUGUAAUGAAAAGAAUAAGAAUGUUUUAUAAAUAUC